UCCAACCUGCCAAAACAAGCUAAAGAAAAAAAAGAGCUAAAGAUUUGGUGUGGAUGCUGUGUGUGAGUCUGUGAUGAGGUUGGUCACCGCGUUGGUCUGAGUGAGAGCUGGACUGAGCUAACAGUCCAAACAUGGUCACAGCUGAGUGAAGACCAUCAGGAGGUGAGAAGGUCAGGACCUGAUGAUGGACAGGUCACUGCUCACUGAGUCCAUCUGCUGUCUGUUGUCCACCUGCAGUCAUGCUGAAGGUAAACACUGAGGUUUCGGCAAACAUCCACCUCAGCCAAUCAGAGCAGCUGUUGUUCAAACGCAUCUGAGAGCAUUGGUCAGAAGAUGUCCAAACAAGACAGGCUUAAACCUGUCGGCCCCUCAAAGAACCAGGACCCCUCCCCAUCCCUCACCUACUGCUGUUUUGAAAUUCUAUAAACAAGUGGUUUUUGAUGGAGAUGUAAAUAAAUUCUAAAAUCAGACUUAGACUGUUUCCCUUCUUGUCUUCAGAUCAGAUCAGAUCCCACCUUCCUCCAGGGGGAGCACCAGGGUCAUGAUCGACUGGCCAAAUGUGACGCAGUCCGGCAACCAAGAGGUGCCGGACCUGAAACCCGAGGAGCUGCAGAGGUCCACGUGUGUCCUGGGUUUCAUCCCUGUCAUCUACUACAGCGUCCUGCUGUGUGUGGGAGUCCCAGUGAACAUCCUGACCGCGGUGGCGCUGUCCAGACUGGCAUCACGGACUAAGAAAGCUCUUUACUACUACCUGCUGGCAGUGACGGGCUCUGACAUCCUGUCCCAGCUCUUCAUCAUCUUCGUGGGCUUCCUCCUGGAGACAGCCGUCUUCCACCGCGAUGUCCCCGAGCUGCUGCUGCACUCGGUCAGUGCUGCUGAGUUUGCGGCAAACCACGCCUCCAUCUGGUCCACCGUCCCUCUCACUGUGGACCGCUACGUGGCGCUGUGCCACCCCCUCCUCCACCGACAGAUCAGCUACCCAGCCCGGGCCCGCAGGAUCAUCGCGGUUGUGCUGACAUUGUCGUUGGCUUCUGGAGUUCCGUUCUUCUGGUGGUCAGACAUGUGGAGGAACAGUCACCCCCCCACUGUGAUGGACACUGUCCUUAUAUGGACACAUGUGACCAUCAUCUACUUCCUGCCCUGCAGCGUCUUCCUGGUCCUGAACUCACUGAUCAUUCGAACACUGAGGGUUAGACAGAGGCAGCAGCGACACCAGGAGGAUUGUGGGACAAACGCCACGUCACAGCAGCGACGGCACAGACUUGGAAAAACCACGGCAAUGCUCCUGUCCAUCACCUCGGUCUUCUCUGUGCUCUGGGCCCCCAGAACCGUGGUGGUCAUCUACCAUCUGUACGUGUCCUCCGUUCACAGGGACUGGCGCGUCCACUUGGCGUACGAUCUGUCCAACAUGGUGGCCAUGCUGAACACGGCCGUCAACUUCUUCCUCUACUGCUUCGUCAGUAAACCUUUCAGAGGGGCCGUCCGGGACGUGGUCCUGCUCCGGGGUGGACCACUGUAUCCUGGACGGGCUCUGCCACAGCUGCAGGCUGCAGCCCACGCCUCUGUCUCCUCUCUGUACUGCGGGAACCACAAGCGCUCACACAGAGACUCCGCCCCCUUGUCACCACCGAGAGCCAGAAAGCCCUCAUGACCCCCCGCUUUGACCAACUGACACAGAAACCCGUCUUCAUCACCAGGCCGCCAGAGGAGACGUGACCUGGAAGACAUGGUUGUCGACCCACAGUAGGGUCACUGAGUGACCACAGGAGUGAUGUGAACAAAGGUCCAGAGAACCAUGGUUCUACUGUUCUCCAGGACCAACAUGUUGGAGAACCACCAGCCAAUGGUGAAGGACACUGUCCUCAUUCAGACCCAUGUCUCUGCCAGGAUGGACACAACCACUAGUAACCUCCUCCUACUUUAACCUGUCCUUUGCCCAUCCAUGCACACCGCCCUCUUGUGGACACAUGUGACCUUCGUCGUCUUCUCCUUCACCUCCUGUUUGUCCAGCAGGACCAACAUGUCCUCACAGCAGGACCCGGUCCUUCUGUCCUAACCUCAACACUGCCUUGACACUUCCCACAGUCCCUGAGCAUGUCUCCCCCAGGGAGGAGGGUGGCCGUGGGCCACUGGGCCAGGGGCCCCUGGGUCCAGUCUCCCAGGCUCCAGAGAAAAUAUGUUUUUUUUAGUUUUUGUCGUGUGAAUUCACUUCAGUAAAUCACAGACUCCUGACAACAUAUUUAUUUUGUUUUACAAGAAUGUGACAGAAAAACAGGGUUUUUUGUCUUUUAUAAACAUUAAUGUGACGCAAUCAUUUUUAUAGAGUUGUGUAAAAAAGGAAAGAAAAGACCAGAGGUUUGUUUUUACGUUGAUGAAAUCAGUCGUCCACAACAGACCAUGUCAGAUCAGGGCCGCCUGAGCUGUGAGCGCCCCCUGCUGCAGACGUCUAAUGUCAUAUACAGUUGUAAUAUAGUGCAGGCAUAACCUGAUUGGAUUUAAUGAUGCCAAGUUGCUUAAAUGAUUUACAUUCCAGGGGGCGCUAACACUUCACUAAAUCCUGGGUUCUUUUGUUCAUAUAUGUUGCUGUUUUUACAUGUGUCCUGUAGUGGACUGAGUUUGUGUAUGUGUGUCUUGAUGGUCCACUGUGAGUCUACACUGACUGGUGGUCCCUCUUUACUCCACACCUGCCUCCUCCUCCUCCUCCUCCUCCUCCUCCUCCUCUUCCUCCUGCCCCUCACCCUGUUUAGACAGAUACAGUCAGGGACUGACCUGAGUGUCCAUCUCAUCAUGCCCCGCCCCCUCCCGUCCCUUGCUGAGUUCUGAGAGCCCAGACAUAGACAAAGAGAGAAGUUUGUUUGAAGAUGUCUCCUGCUGUCUGACCAUAACACAGGAGGGCCUUCAGAUAGGGAGAGAAUAAACACCUCCAUGUAAAGUUUAGGCUUUUUCAUGUGUGGUUGUAUAAAAAAGAGUCUCCGUAUCAGUGAGGGGGUUCUAUAAGAGCCGCAGAAGAACUGGGGGGCGGGGGGGGACGACUACCAGCUGAAGUAUCUGAACAUGUUUAUGUCUGUAUUCAGUGGGAGACGGAUGUUCCUAACAGCUUACAGUGCCACACCAAACCUCCAAGAGAAAAUCAGUGAUUUUAGCUCAGACCAAAGUCCAUAGAGAAAAUCAGUGAUUUUAGUUCAGACCAAAGUCCAUAGAGAAAAUCUGCACCUCCUGUUGUCAGUUUGUGUCACCAAGUUUAAUCUUAAUUAAAUUUAGAUUAAAUUGUAUUAAAAAAGAAACCCACACUCAUAAUUAUUUGACAAAUUGAUUUUCUGUGUGGACAUUGAUUUGGGAAAUGACACUGUCUCAGUGUCUCCUAAGUUUCAGUUUCCUGUUGAAAAAUCCCAUGGAACAGUGAGAUAGAACAGCGAUCAUGUUUCUCUGACUCUGUAAACUUCAGCCGACAUUAAUUUUAUAAGCUGAGGCUUCUGUUAUCUUUCUGUUGGACAGUUUUCUUUUUCAACAGGAAACUGAAGUUAGGAAACCAAACAGUGGCUACAGCGGCUGCUCCACUGCUGUAGUCAGGGUGACAGUUACAGUCGUCCUCCACCUGUACCUCAGUAAAGGUGGUAACGAAGGUAGAAUCUUCUGGAUUAAAGUUUGAUGAAGCCCAGCCUCUCUGAGACCUUUCUCUCCACACAUCGUCUGUCCACCUGUCGGCUGUCCUUUGUCCCACCUCAAACAGCGACCCCUCCCUCCUGCCAGGGUCCACUGCUCCACAGCUGGCAGCAGGAACACCCACCACAACUUCCUAUCAGGUCCCAGUGCUUUAAUACAGGCAGCCCAUACUGAGGCCACAUGGGGCAGUGUGGCUGGAGGGGCUGCAGGUAAGAACAACAACCCCUGCCCCAAAGACUGCCCCCCCCCCCCCUUACUUAGACUGUAGUUUAUAAAUCACUGUCUAGGCCAACAUGGAUGGAUGAGGGGACGGACGGAUGGUUGGAUGAAAAAUGGUCAUUGAAUGUGAUAAUAUUAUUCUAAAAAAGAGGCCCAAGAACAGUGUUUAAUUAACAAAAUUAAUUAAAUUUAGUUACAGAUAAAGACAGACGAACAGCUGAGCUUAAAUCACUGAUUUUCUCUAUGGACAUUUGUAUGGAAAAGUAAGUGAUUUAUAGAACUGACAUCCCUUCACCACCAGAUGUCCCUCCUCACCUGUGUGGGUGAGUGAGUGUGUGUGUGCGUGCGUGCGUGCGUGUGUGUGUUUAGAGAGCGGCUCAGUCUAUCAGCUCAGCCAGAUGAAGAAGGAAGCCCUGGUGUAAACAUUGUCUCUUCUUUUUUUUCUCUGUUUAAACUGAACUGAGAUCAGUUCAUCUUUUUUUCCUCUCAGAUUAUUCCUGAACUUUUCAUCAUCACUUCCAUUUCUUCCUCAAUGGUUGAUCUUCGCCGUCCAGUUGGUGUUUGAUCAGGACUAAGAACAGCAGGUGGAGUCACGGGUCAGAUGUUUGUUGGACAGGGUGGAGCGCUCCAACAUCUUCAGAGUUUCUGUUCUUCACCCUCCCAGUUUCUCCUGGUUCCUCCACCUGAACACGUUCCAUAAGGAUCCCAGGGACCCGGUCCAACAUGU